GCCUGCCCAGUAGAAAGACCCACAGAAAGGA
rnacentral:rRNA from 1 species